rnacentral:rRNA from 1 species
AAUAUUGGACAAUGGGGGGAACCCUGAUCCAGCCAUGCCUCGUGUGUGAAGAAGGUAUUCGGAUUGUAAAGCACUUUAAGUUGAGAGGAAGAGUUGUAGGCUAAUACCUUGCAAUUUUGACGAUACCAACAGAAGAAGCACCGGCUAACUUCGUGCCAGCAGCCUCGGUAAUACUAAGGUUGCAAGCGUUAAUCGGAAUUACUGGGCGUAAAGCGCGCGUAGGUGGUUCGUUAAGUUGGAAGUGAAAGCCCCGGGCUUAACCUGGGAAUUGCUUUCAAAACUGACGAGCUAGAGUACGGUAGAGGGUAGUGGAAUUUCCUGUGUAGCGGUGAAAUGCGUAGAUAUAGGAAGGAACAUCAGUGGCGAAGGCGACUACCUGGACUGAUACUGACACUGAGGUGCGAAAGCGUGGGGAGCAAACA